rnacentral:rRNA from 1 species
CUGCCCGGUGAAUAACUAUUUAAACGGCCGCAGUGAAUAACUGUGCUAAGGUAGCGUAAUAAAUUGUCUCUUAAUUGGAGAAGGGUAUGAAUGGUUUGACGUGGUGGUAUCUGUCUCAGUAAUAAUAAGGUGAAGUUUUCUUUUUAGUUAAAAGACUUGAAUGGCGUUAAAAGACGAGAAGACCCUGUCGAGCUUGAUAAAAAUAUAGAGUGUUUUUGUAUAAUAAGUUUAGCUGGGGCAGCUGAAAACCAUAAAAUAGUUUUCUUUUUUUUGAAGAUCCGGUUUAUACCGAUCAUAAGAAAAAGCUACCGCAGGGAUAACAGCGUUAUCUUUCCUGAGAGAACUAAUUGAAGGGAAGGUUUGCGACCUCGAUGUUGGAUUAAAAUUUCUUUUUGGUGUAGCAGCUAAAAUAGUAGGACUGUUCGUCCUUUAAAAUUUUACGUGAUCUGAGUC